UACGGAGGGGGCCAGCGUUGUUCGGAAUUAUUGGGCGUAAAGGGCGCGUAGGCGGCCAUUCAAGUCGAACGUGAAAUCCCUCGGCUCAACCGGGGAACUGCGUCCGAUACUGUUUGGCUCGAGUCCUGGAGAGGGUAGUGGAAUUCCCAGUGUAGCGGUGAAAUGCGUAGAUACUGGGAGGAACAUCGGUGGCGAAGGCGGCUACCUGGACAGGUACUGACGCUGAGGCGCGAAAGCUAGGGGAGCAAACAGG
rnacentral:rRNA from 1 species